rnacentral:other from 1 species
AGGUAAACAUCUGUAGCAAAAGAUUGGUUCCUGCUGUUUGAAAAUCAUUUCAUUUA